AGCGAACGCUGGCGGCAGGCCUAACACAUGCAAGUCGAACGAACCUUUCGGGGUUAGUGGCGGACGGGUGAGUAACACGUGGGAACGUGCCUUUAGGUUCGGAAUAACUCAGGGAAACUUGUGCUAAUACCGAAUGUGCCCUUCGGGGGAAAGAUUUAUCGCCUUUAGAGCGGCCCGCGUCUGAUUAGCUAGUUGGUUGAGGUAAUGGCUCACCAAGGCGACGAUCAGUAGCUGGUCUGAGAGGAUGAUCAGCCACAUUGGGACUGAGACACAGCCCAAACUCCUACGGGAGGCAGCAGUGGGGAAUCUUGCGCAAUGGGCGAAAGCCUGACGCAGCCAUGCCGCGUGAAUGAUGAAGGUCUUAGGAUUGUAAAAUUCUUUCACCGGGGACGAUAAUGACGGUACCCGGAGAAGAAGCCCCGGCUAACUUCGUG
rnacentral:rRNA from 1 species